GAGUUUGAUCUUGGCUCAGAGCGAACGCUGGCGGCAGGCCUAACACAUGCAAGUCGAACGAACUCUUCGGAGUUAGUGGCGGACGGGUGAGUAACACGUGGGAACGUGCCUUUUGGUUCGGAAUAACUCAGGGAAACUUGUGCUAAUACCGAAUGUGCCCUUCGGGGAAGGAUUUAUCGCCAUUAGAGCGGCCCGCCGUCUGAUCAGCUAGUUGGUGAGGUAAAGGCUCACCAAGGCGACGAUCAGUAGCUGGUCUGAGAGGAUGAUCAGCCACAUUGGGACUGAGACACGGCCCAAACUCCUACGGGAGGCAGCAGUGGGGAAUCUUGCGCAAUGGGCGAAAGCCUGACGCAGCCAUGCCGCGUGAAUGAUGAAGGUCUUAGGAUUGUAAAAUUCUUUCACCGGGGACGAUAAUGACGGUACCCGGAGAAGAAGCCCCGGCUAACUUCGUGCCAGCCGCCGCCGU
rnacentral:rRNA from 1 species